AAGAUCAUACUUCACAGGAUCAUUUCUGUAGUAUGCAUCGUCCCCUCCAGGUGCAAAUCUGGAGUCGUCAUCAGCCACGAUGAUGAGACUUGUCCAUUUACCGGAGCGUGAGAUGGCUGGUGAUCAACUGUUCGCAGUUUGAUCAUCCAGCAACGAUGAUCGCAACCAGUUUUGCUGGGAUGGUAAUUGGACCGUCUGAGUGGU